CCGUGAUCAUGGACAGACUGCCCCUCGCGCAUCUUUGCUUUGAAGAGCCUCUUGGACACUUCAAAACGAGCUGUGCGACUCUGCUCACCAUACAACUCUUGCAGGUGUGCCAGUAUGUCCCUAGCAGUCUUCAUAUUUUCAUGCUGGCAUUGGAGUUCAUUGGACAUGGAUGCCAUCAUAUAGCACUUGACUCUAAUGUCAUCAUCCAUCCACUUUUGAUGCAUCUCACGCUAAACAUCAGUAGUACGUGUUGGUAGUGUGGGGAUAUCUGAAUCGAGUAUGUAGCCUAUUUUCUCACAGUUCAAAACAAUUUUGAGGUUUCUUAGCUAGUCCUUGUAAUUGGUUCCAGUCAAUCGGUUGGUCUCAAGAAUAUGGGUCAAAGGGUUUGAGGCUGACAUUAUGAUCUGCAGAGAGUAAAGAUUCUAGUUAGACUUUUGUACUUGAUCCUUAAUAUGUUCUAAGGACUUUUAGAACAAAUGUACCUCCCACUAUUUUCUCGAAUUCCUUAUACUCCCCUGGUAAGAAAAC
rnacentral:lncRNA from 1 species